CCGGAACUUCCGGUAGCGCCGUAAGAGGGAAAAUCAGGGAAUUCGAUGCACCUGUGCCUAGUUAGGGACAGCGGUUGGUGAUUGGAGGAUACGCUGGACAAGGCAGUACUUAAGGCCAAGUUAUUUCACAGUCUGGGAGCUCUUUCUGGCUGGAAUUGUAUGAUUGUGAAGACAUCGCGAACCUUAAAGGUUGAGAAGUGAACGGAUUAUACGGCGAACUGAGACGACGUGAAAAAGGGGAUUGGAAGCGGCAUUGAUGUGAGUAUUAAGAGCAAGCCGAAAGUGCCCUGUAUAUUGACCUGGCGUUGUGUAGAUCUCUCCAGGAGGAGGAGGGCGGCCCUACCCCUAAUAUAGCGUGGUGGGAGAGCCGAAGGAAUACUUAUUGAAGUAGUCACAACGACGACAUCACUAGCUAGGCCGCAUAUUCCAUCGCCAGAUCCGAACCAAGCGAAGUGAAGGAAGACGGGUGUCCUUUUUGUACACUGAGUGUGGUGGGUGAGUCUUCGUGCUGUGAAAACCUAUAAUUUUGAAGUGGUGUUGUAUAUUGCUGUGGGUUGCUGUGUAUUGCCGUGUGUCCUGUCAGAUAAACCCCCGCCUUCACGCACUUCGUCGUGGGAGGACAAGGAGACUGCUGGUCCUAGCCUAGUUCAGUACAGUAUAUGUUGUGAGCGUGCUUCAGAUCUCCGGAGAUAGCACGGUACGCUGUGUCCAGCCCAGAGGUGAGAGCCAUCCAAAGCAGAGUAACUGUGCUUUGUGUCCAAGUUGAUACCUGUGGAGAGGAAAGGAAAGAGAGUGGGUAACACGAGGAGAGACCGAGGAAACCUGUACUUACGCCGCUGCCUGUGGAGAAAGAGAAAGCGAGUGAGCACCCAAGGAACGAACUGUGUGAACCAGUACUUACUGUGAGCUGCAAUCAGCGAAGAGGUGAGAGCAAAACCAAGCCGAAUUAACUGUGCCUUUGUGUCCCAGCCGUUGCCUGUGGAGGAAGAGAAAGAGAGUGAGCACCCCGAGAACGAACUGUGUGAACCAGUACUUACCGUGAGUUGUAUUCAGCGAAGAGGAGGAAGAAGGAGGGCGCUACGGAUACCUAAGACUCUGGCCGGGCCCCGAGUCCCACGCCCCGGAUCCCCGUGGCCCCCUUGCUCCCUGACCUCUUCCCGGCCAUAGCCCAUCUGGAGGGCCGAGUCAGAGUUUAGUUUUAAUUGCCCUUUCCCUAUUCCCCAAGCUAUUUUUAAAUAUUUAAAUAAAGAUUGUUUUAUCACUUA